UGAGAAAAGAAGUUAUUACACCAUCAGUUUCAUUGUCCUGGGCAGCAAUGUUUGUUGGAAGUACUUAUGUGGGUUUUUUUUAAUGUGUUUUUUUCAGGAGGAGCUCGCAAAUGGGCGUGUCCCAGUAAGUAUUUCUCCAGGGUUUUUUUUUUUCCCCCCCAGCAAAAGUAAGUACCUAUGCAGUAGUAGCACCCAGAUUUUCAGCAUAAUGGUAUUUUGCAUUGCAUUGCUGUUUUGAUGCAGUUUUCUGUCUUCAUUUAUGUUGGAAGUGAUAAGUAGAGCCGUACGUUUUAAUUUUUUUCAGAAAUCUCUCAGACCGUGGUAUAUCAU
ensembl:lncRNA